CAGUAGCCACGGUAAUACAGAGGGUGCGAGCGUUAAUCGGAUUUACUGGGCGUAAAGCGUGCGUAGGCGGCUAAUUGAGUCGGAUGUGAAAUCCCUGAGCUUAACUUAGGAAUUGCAUUCGAUACUGGGAAGCUAGAGUAUGGGAGAGGAUGGUAGAAUUCCAGGUGUAGCGGUGAAAUGCGUAGAGAUCUGGAGGAAUACCGAUGGCGAAGGCAGCCAUCUGGCCUAAUACUGACGCUGAGGUACGAAAGCAUGGGGAGCAAACAGGAUUAGAUACCCCGGUAGUCCCUGUCUCUUAUAA
rnacentral:rRNA from 1 species